AUGAACGCUGGCGGCGUGCCUCAUACAUGCAAGUCGAACGCUGGAGAUCUAGCUUGCUAGAUCGAAGGAGUGGCGAACGGGUGAGUAAUACAUAAGCAACCUACCCACGAAGACUGGGAUAAUCUCUGGAAACGGGGACUAAUACCGGAUAGGUAAUCGGAAGGCAUCUUCUGGUUAUUAAAGGUUAAAAACACUGGUGGAUGGGCUUAUGGCGCAUUAGUUAGUUGGUGAGGUAACGGCCCACCAAGACGAUGAUGCGUAGCCGGCCUGAGAGGGUGAACGGCCACAUUGGGACUGAGACACGGCCCAGACUCCUACGGGAGGCAGCAGUAGGGAAUUUUCGGCAAUGGGGGCAACCCUGACCGAGCAACGCCGCGUGAGUGAAGACGGCCUUCGGGUUGUAAAGCUCUGUUGUAAGGGAAGAACGGUAGAUAGAGAAUAUCUAAGUGACGGUACCUUACCAGAAAGCCACGGCUAACUACGUG
rnacentral:rRNA from 1 species